rnacentral:rRNA from 1 species
AGGUCAAGCUACAAAGGGCGCAUGGUGAAUGCCUUGGCACUAGGAGCCGAAGAAGGACGCGAUAAGCUGCGAUAAGCCUUGGGUAGCCGCAAAUAGGCUGAGAUCCAGGGAUUUCCGAAUGAGGAAACUCACAUGGGUAACCCCAUGUAUCAUGCACUGAAUACAUAGGUGUAUGAGGGUAAACCCGGGGAACUGAAACAUCUAAGUACCCGGAGGAAGAGAAAGAAAAAUCGAUUUCCUAAGUAGCGGCGAGCGAACGGGAAAGAGCCCAAACCAGAAACUUGUUUCUGGGGUUGUGGAUAGAUCAUAAAAGAAGAGGUAUCUUAAUCGAAGAGGGCUGGAACGCCCUACCAUAGAAGGUAAUAGUCCUGUAGAUAAAAAGAGAAAACUUCGAGAUCUAAUCCAGAGUACCACGAGACACGUGAAACCUUGUGGGAAGCAGGGAGGACCACCUCCCAAGGCUAAAUACUACCUAGUGACCGAUAGUGAAGCAGUACCGUGAGGGAAAGGUGAAAAGAACCCCGGAAGGGGAGUGAAAUAGAACCUGAAACCGUGUGCCUACAACCGAUCGGAGCACGUUAAAGUGUGACGAUGUGCUUUUUGUAGAACGAGCCAGCGAGUUACGCUAUGUAGCAAGGUUAAGUACUUAAGGUAUGGAGCCGAAGGGAAACCGAGUCUGAAAAGGGCGAAAAGUUGCAUGGUGUAGACCCGAAACCGGGUGACCUAUCCAUGGCCAGGUUGAAGCGAGAGUAAAAUCUCGUGGAGGACCGAACCACGUUGGUGUUGAAAAACCAUGGGAUGAGCUGUGGAUAGCGGAGAAAUUCCAAUCGAACUCGGAGAUAGCUGGUUCUCCUCGAAAUAGCUUUAGGGCUAGCGUCGUGUAAUUGAGUAAUGGAGGUAGAGCACUGAAUGGGCUAGGGGCUAUAGUAGUUACCGAACCCUAUCAAACUCCGAAUGCCAUAUACUUGUAUCACGGCAGUCAGACUGCGAAUGAUAAGAUCCGUAGUCAAAAGGGAAACAGCCCAGACCAUCAGCUAAGGUCCCAAAGUGUAAGUUAAGUGGAAAAGGAUGUGGGAUUUCUAAGACAACUAGGAUGUUGGCUUAGAAGCAGCCACUCAUUUAAAGAGUGCGUAAUAGCUCACUAGUCAAGAGAUCCUGCGCCGAAGAUGUCCGGGGCUCAAACUUACCACCGAAGCUAUGGGUGUACACUAUGUGUACGCGGUAGAGGAGCUUUCUGUAUGGGUUGAAGUCGUACCGUAAGGAGCGGUGGACUGUACAGAAGUGAGAAUGCUGGCAUAAGUAGCGAGAAAUAAGUGAGAAUCUUAUUGGCCGAAAACCUAAGGUUUCCUGAGGAAGGUUCGUCCGCUCAGGGUUAGUCGGGACCUAAGCCGAGGCCGAAAGGCGUAGGUGAUGGACAAUCGGUUGAUAUUCCGAUACCACCUAUUUACGUUUGAGAAAUGGGGUGACGCAGUAGGAUAAGAUGUGCGCACUAUUGGAUGUGCGUCUAAGCACUUAGGCAUGCUUGAUAGGCAAAUCCGUCGAGCUAAGCUGAGGUGUGAUGGGGAGCCAUUUAUGGCGAAGUAUCUGAUUCCACACUGCCAAGAAAAGCCUCUAUCGAGUGAAUAGGUGCCCGUACCGCAAACCGACACAGGUAGGUGAGGAGAGAAUCCUAAGGCCAUCGGAAGAAUUGCUGUUAAGGAACUCGGCAAAUUGACCCCGUAACUUCGGGAGAAGGGGUGCCUACGAAAGUAGGCCGCAGAGAAUAGGCCCAAGCAACUGUUUAGCAAAAACACAGGUCUCUGCUAAAGCGAAAGCUGAUGUAUAGGGGCUGACGCCUGCCCGGUGCUGGAAGGUUAAGGGGAACACUUAGCGUAAGCGAAGGUGUGAACUUAAGCCCCAGUAAACGGCGGCCGUAACUAUAACGGUCCUAAGGUAGCGAAAUUCCUUGUCGGGUAAGUUCCGACCCGCACGAAUGGCGUAAUGAUUUGGGCACUGUCUCAACAGCAAAUCCGGCGAAAUUGUAGUGCAAGUGAAGAUGCUUGCUACCCGCGAUUGGACGGAAAGACCCCGUAGAGCUUUACUGUAGCUUAGCAUUGAAUCUCGGUAUUGUCUGUACAGGAUAGGUGGGAGACUUGGAA